rnacentral:rRNA from 1 species
UGGAUCAGAACGAACCUGGCGGCGUGCCUAACACAUGCAAGUCGAACGCGAAAGUCCCGCAAGGGAUCAGUAGAGUGGCAAACGGGUGAGUAACACGUGGGUGACCUGCCUUCGAGCGGGGGAUAACGUCCCGAAAGGGACGCUAAUACCGCAUGACAUCCCACCUUUUAACAGGUGGAGAUCAAAGCCGGGGAUCGCAAGACCUGGCACUCGAAGAGGGGCCCGCGUCUGAUUAGCUAGUUGGUGAGGUAAUGGCUCACCAAGGCGAGGAUAAAUAGCCGGCCUGAGAGGGCGGACGGCCACACUGGGAUUGAUCCUCGGCCCAGAGAACUACGGGAGGC